rnacentral:rRNA from 1 species
GAUGAACGCUGGCGGCGUGCCUAAUACAUGCAAGUCGAGCGAACAGACGAUGAGCUUGCUCCUCUGACGUUAGCGGCUGACGGGUGAGUAACACGUGGAUAACCUACCUAUAAGACUGGGAUAACUUCGGGAAACCGGAGCUAAUACCGUAUAAUAUAUUGAACCUCAUUGUUCAAUAGUAAAAGACGGUUUUGCUGUCACGUAUAGAUGGAUCCGCGCCGCAUUAGCUAGUUGGUAAGGUGACGGUUUACCAAGGCAACGAGGCGUAGCCGACCUGAGAGGGUGAUCGGCCACCCUGGAAAUGAGACAGGGUCAAGACUCCUACGGGAGGCAGCAGUAGGGAAUCUUCCGCAAUGGGCGAAAGCCUGACGGAGAAACGCCGCGUGAGUGAUGAAGGUCUUCGGAUCGUAAAACUCUGUUAUUAGGGAAGAACAAAUGUGGAAGUAAAUGUGCACGUCUUGACGGUACCUAAUCAGAAAGCCACGGCUAACUACGUG